rnacentral:lncRNA from 1 species
GCGAAAGGGCUCUAUUGCCAGCCCUCUGUGAAUGUGAAUAAUUGUUCUCUCUCAUCCUUUUGGGUGAUUCUGUUUCCAGCUUGGGUAGUUCCCCUAUAAACAUGUGCUUAUCAGUAGUCAGCUGCAUAUUUGUGGGAGACCUUUGAGGACUCCCACUUCCCCCGGGAUCUUUCUCUGGGCAAGUCUCUUCUUUUCCAGUCCUCUGUCCAGAGGACUUAUAGUUUGUGCUCGUCUCCCUGAAUUCUCAGCUCUUUCUCUGUAACUCAGAAAGCCUACUGGCCUCCACCAGGACCCGCUUGUGUUUCUCCUCCCUAUGCUGCAACCCGAUGCAGUAAGCUUGGGUGGUCUGCCAUGGUAAGAAGUGCUGGCUUCCCCUUUGCCUUUCGCCAUGAUUGCAAGUUUCCUGAAGGCUUCCAGUCAUGCUUCCUGUUAUGUCUGCAGAACUGUGAGUCAAUUAAACAUUUUUACUUUAUAAAUUACCCAGUCUUGGGUAGUUCUUUAUAGCAGUGUAGAAACGGACUAAUAAAACAUGUACGUUUAAUGUCUCCCAAGUACGGGAUUUUUUUCUUUUUGUUAUUCUUCAUGUCACAUUUGGUUGCUAUAGGUAGGAGUGUGAAUCACAU